UGGGGAAUAUUGCACAAUGGACGGAAGUCUGAUGCAGCAACGCCGCGUGGAGGAUGACACAUUUCGGUGCGUAAACUCCUUUUAUAUGAGAAGAUAAUGACGGUAUCAUAUGAAUAAGCACCGGCUAACUCCGUGC
rnacentral:rRNA from 1 species